rnacentral:rRNA from 1 species
UAUUGGACAAUGGGGGCAACCCUGAUCCAGCCAUGCCGCGUGAGUGAUGAAGGCCUUCGGGUUGUAAAGCUCUUUUGGCGGGGACGAUGAUGACGGUACCCGCAGAAUAAGCCCCGGCUAACUUCGUGCCAGCAGCCGCGGUAAGACGAAGGGGGCUAGCGUUGUUCGGAAUUACUGGGCGUAAAGCGCGUGUAGGCGGUUUGCCAAGUUGGGUGUGAAAGCCUUGGGCUUAACCCAAGAAAUGCACUCAGUACUGGCAGACUAGAGGACCGGAGAGGAUAGUGGAAUUCCCAGUGUAGUGGUGAAAUACGUAGAGAUUGGGAAGAACACCAGUGGCGAAGGCGGCUAUCUGGACGGUUUCUGACGCUAAGACGCGAAA